rnacentral:rRNA from 1 species
UACGUAGGUGGCGAGCGUUGUCCGGAUUUACUGGGCGUAAAGAGCGCGCAGGCGGCUGGUCAAGUCCGAUGUGAAAGCUCCCGGCUUAACUGGGAAAUUGCAUCGGAAACUGAUCGGCUGGAAGGUGGGAGAGGGUAGCGGAAUUCCCGGUGUAGUGGUGAAAUGCGUAGAUAUCGGGAGGAACACCGGCGGCGAAGGCGGCCCUCUGGAUCGUUGCUGACGCUGAGACGCGAAAGCGUGGGGAGCAAACAGG